AAGUUUUAAGAGUCAAACUAAAUUUAGCAGAAGAGUUUUGAAUAAAAGAAAUUGAGCAAAAGUUGGAACAAAAAACGAUAUAAUCUGUUUUAAAGUGAAUAAAAGUAUUUUGUUUUGUUUUCUUAUUAACUUUUUUAGCUAAAUUAUUGUAGAAGAAAAAUUGGUGAAUAGUGAAAGGCAAAACUAAAUGACAGUAGUCAUAGGGCAUAUUUAGGGUAAUUGGUGUUUAAAAUGUAUAUAUAUAAAUAUGUUAUUAUUAAUAUUGUAUUCAAUUGUAUU